UACGGAAGGCAGCAGUGGGGAAUAUUGCACAAUGGGCGCAAGCCUGAUGCAGCCAUGCCGCGUGUAUGAAGAAGGCCUUCGGGUUGUAAAGUACUUUCAGUCGUGAGGAAGGUGUUAAGGUUAAUAACCUUAGCAAUUGACGUUAGCGACAGAAGAAGCACCGGCUAACUCCGUGCCAGCAGCCGCGGUAAUACGGAGGGUGCGAGCGUUAAUCGGAAUUACUGGGCGUAAAGGGCACGCAGGCGGUUAAUUAAGUUGGAUGUGAAAUCCCCGGGCUUAAACCUGGGAAUGGCAUUCAAGACUGGUUAGCUAGAGUCUUGUAGAGGGGGUAGAAUUCCAUGUGUAGCGGUGAAAUGCGUAGAGAUGUGGAGGAAAUACCGGUGGCGAAAGGCGGCCCCUGGACAAAAGACUGACGCUCAUGUGCGAAAAGCGUGGGGAGCAAACAGGGAUUAGAUACC
rnacentral:rRNA from 1 species